rnacentral:rRNA from 1 species
UACGGGGGGGGCAAGCGUUGUUCGGAAUUACUGGGCGUAAAGGGCUCGUAGGUGGUCAACUAAGUCGGACGUGAAAUCCCUCGGCUUAACCGGGGAACUGCGUCCGAUACUGGAUGACUUGAGUUCGGGAGAGGGAUGCGGAAUUCCAGGUGUAGCGGUGAAAUGCGUAGAUAUCAGGAGGAACACCGAUGGCGAAGGCAGGUCUCUGGGCCACUACUGACGCUGAGAAGCGAAAGCAUGGGGAGCGAACAGG